AUGGAAAACCCCUUGCAUGGGGACUUGCAUAUAAGGCCAGUUGUGGCUGCCAUUAAACAGUUCAACUUCACCCUCAACACAGAGCCUCGUCUUGUGCUUGUAGGGAACAGGUAUACCAGCUAUAUCACUAGCUCUUGUAAGAGCCAUCCUGCUAUACUCUCUGGAGGAGGAGAGGUCUACCCACUGGAAGCUGGAUCCCUGACUUGGGUCCAG